AACGAACGCUGGCGGCAGGCUUAACACAUGCAAGUCGAGCGGCAGCGCGGGGGCAACCCUGGCGGCGAGCGGCGAACGGGUGAGUAAUACAUGGGAAUCUGCCUGGUAGUGGGGGAUAACUCUGGGAAACUAGAGGUAAUACCGCAUACGUCCUACGGGAGAAAGGGGGGGAUCUUCGGACCUCUCGCUAUCAGAGGAGCCCAUGUCCGAUUAGCUAGUUGGUGAGGUAAAGGCUCACCAAGGCGACGAUCGGUAACUGGUCUGAGAGGAUGGUCAGUCACACUGGAACUGAGACACGGUCCAGACUCCUACGGGAGGCAGCAGUGGGAAUAUUGGACAAUGGGGGCAACCCUGAUCCAGCCAUGCCGCGUGUGUGAUGAAGGCCUUAGGGUUGUAAAGCUCUUUUGCCAGGGAAGAUGAUGACUGUACCUGGAGAAUAAGCCCCGGCUAACUUCGUGCCAGCAGCCGCGGUAAU
rnacentral:rRNA from 1 species